rnacentral:rRNA from 1 species
GACGAACGCUGGCGGCGUGCUUAACACAUGCAAGUUGAACGAGAAUCUGUGGAAAGAGGAUUCGUCCAAUUGAAGCAGAGGACAGUGGCGGACGGGUGAGUAACGCGUGAGGAACCUGCCUUUCAGAGGGGGACAACAGUUGGAAACGACUGCUAAUACCGCAUAACAUAUAGAUGUCGCAUGGCAUUUAUAUCAAAGAUUUAUCGCUGAAAGAUGGCCUCGCGUCUGAUUAGCUAGUUGGUGAGGUAACGGCCCACCAAGGCGACGAUCAGUAGCCGGACUGAGAGGUUGAACGGCCACAUUGGGACUGAGAUACGGCCCAGACUCCUACGGGAGGCAGCAGUGGGGAAUAUUGGGCAAUGGGCGCAAGCCUGACCCAGCAACGCCGCGUGAAGGAAGAAGGCUUUCGGGUUGUAAACUUCUUUUGUCAGGGACGAGUAGAAGACGGUACCUGACGAAUAAGCCACGGCUAACUACGUGCCAGCAGCCG